rnacentral:rRNA from 1 species
GACGUAGGGCGCGAGCGUUGUCCGGAUUUAUUGGGCGUAAAGAGCUCGUAGGCGGCUUGUCGCGUCGACUGUGAAAACUCGGGGCUCAACUCCGAGCUUGCAGUCGAUACGGGCAGGCUAGAGUUCGGUAGGGGAGGACUGGAAUUCCUGGUGUAGCGGUGAAAUGCGCAGAUAUCAGGAGGAACACCGGUGGCGAAGGCGGGUCUCUGGGCCGAUACUGACGCUGAGGAGCGAAAGCGUGGGGAGCGAACAG